rnacentral:rRNA from 1 species
GCCCUCCAGAGAAGAGGAUGGCCAAAUUGUGGGCUUUGUCAACUUUGUAGGGAGCCGGAGACUUUCCCUCACAUUAUAUCCGGGUGCCAUCUCUCCAUUCGCGUUUGGAAGAUGGUUCGAGAUUGGAUUGACCUAAAAUUCUUGAAUGUUGAUCACUGGGUAAACUUCAACUCGAUCUCAGAGUGGUGGCUUGCGGUGACUCAUCCAUCAGGCAACCGGAGUAAAUCGAUGGCCACAUUUAUCAUGCUUGUCGCUUGGAAGCUAUGGAAUGAAAGAAGUGUGCGUCUUCCCAAGCCACUCUUUAAUGCGGUCAAUCAUUUUUGCUAA